CGACGAGGGAUCCAAGUGCCAUGAAUUUGUAUGGCUGUUUCCAUGUCUAAAAAACAUGGAGAGUAAGGGCUGGGUAAGACUGGUGCCAGCCGCCGCGGUAAUACCAGCAGCUCGAGUGGUGAUCCUUUUUAUUGGGCCUAAAGCGUCCGUAGCCGGUCUGGUAAAUCCUUGGGUAAAUCGUACCGCUUAACGUACGAACUCUGGGGAGACUGCCAGACUUGGGACUGGGAGAGGUCGGAGGUACUCCUGGGGUAGGGGUGAAAUCCUGUAAUCCUGGGGGGACCACCAGUGGCGAAGGCGUCCGACUAGAACGGAUCCGACGGUGAGGGACGAAGCCGUGGGGCACAAACCGGAUUAGAUACCCGGGUAGUCCACGGUGUAAACGCUGCGAGCUUGGUGUUGGGGGUCCUACGAGGGCGCCCAGUGCCGGAGAGAAGUUGUUUAGCUCGCCGCCUGGGGAGUACGAUCGCAAGAUUGAAACUUAAAGGAAUUGGCGGGGA
rnacentral:rRNA from 1 species